rnacentral:rRNA from 1 species
GAUUAUGGCUCAGAACGAACGCUGGCGGCAGGCCUAACACAUGCAAGUCGAGCGCGCCCUUCGGGGUGAGCGGCGGACGGGUUAGUAACGCGUGGGAACGUACCCUUUGGUAGGGAAUAGCCACUGGAAACGGUGAGUAAUACCCUAUGAGCCCUUCGGGGGAAAAGAUUUUAUCGCCAAAGGAUCGGCCCGCGUUAGAUUAGGUAGUUGGUGGGGUAAUGGCCUACCAAGCCUACGAUCUAUAGCUGGUUUUAGAGGAUGAUCAGCAACACUGGGACUGAGACACGGCCCAGACUCCUACGGGAGGCAGCAGUGGGGAAUCUUGGACAAUGGGGGCAACCCUGAUCCCAGCCAUGCCGCGUGAGUGAAGAAGGCCUUAGGGUCGUAAAGCUCUUUCGCCUGUGAAGAUAAUGACGGUAGCAGGUAAAGAAACCCCGGCUAACUCCGUGCCAGCAGCAGC